GUGUCACAACUGUCCCAUGCCUGCUUUUGUCCCUCUUGCUGUGCCCUCUGCUCCCCCAGGGCUCUGUGGCUGCUGCCCAGGACUGUGGGACUGGCACAGAUCCCGUGGUCGAGACCCUCCUUUCUCUGCCCUUGGAGCUGCCUGGGCACAGCAGCCUUUUCCAUCUGGAAGCUGCCCAUGGACAGGGAGUCCCCAGCUGCGUUUCUUGCACAACCUCCAGGAGCCCAGGGCUGCCAUCUCAAGUCCCUGCUGGCCCUGGGGGCUCCCAGGAUGUGUUAUCUGCUCAAAAAGAAAAAAGAAAAAAAGAAAGGAAAAAAUGAGAAAAAUAUGAAAGAGAAAAACAAGAAACAAAUGUGUAGUGAAGAUCUUCUGUAACUUUGGAUUAAGAGGUAACUGAUCUUUUUAAAAGGAGAACUCAUUUACUUUGUGCAUGUUCUGAUGGCCUGGAUCCUUCUUACGGACUGACCUCAGCAUCCGUUUUUUUAAAGAUUUUGGGUUUUGUUUCCAGUAUUGAGAUUUUUUUUUAGUGGAGUUGAAGCAAUAGGAGGAUGAGAGAUGGAUUGUGCACAACGGUGUCUUGAGGGCAAAGAUAUUGCAGUUUGAAACUUGGACCUAAAGUAUUGAAAAUCAAACUUACAAAUCUCA